rnacentral:rRNA from 1 species
GAAAAAAAACACGUCCCACGCCCCAUAUUCCUCACCCGUUCGCUCCUGAUCCUCUAUCCCGAAAAUAAUUCGCCACCGCCUAUGCUCGCCGCCUUGCCCCCAAGCAUCACCUUGCCGGCCUAGAUCUCGACCCGCCGCCGGUCCCCACCAAGUAGAAGCACCCAGAGGCCAUCCGCCCCAACCGCCAACAUAUGCCGCAACCCGACGUCGCCCAACCGGAGUGCCGUCGCACCAGCUCGCCAUAGCACCAAGCGCAUCCCCUACCGCAGAUGUCGGGGCUAGCCGCCACCCCUGCCAAUCGCGUAUGGGCAGGUGCGGGCUAACGCCCCCUCCCGGACUCGACCUUCCCCGUGCCCUUGCUUCCAGUCCCCAAAUCCAGGAGAGAUAGCGGGGGCACGGCCCAAGAUCGACAGGUUACCAGCAGAAGCUGCCCACGCCAGGAAGAAACUGCAAGAAGUGCACUUGCUGCUGUUGCGUUGGACUAGCUGGUGUUGCGUUGGAAGGAAGACGAAUGUGAGCAGGAAGAUGAGGUAGACAUUCUACGUGAUGGUAGCGAAUCAGAAGCUCGCUGUAUCCGGCAAGAACAGCUUCAACAUCUCACAUCAUCAAUAGGCUGAAUGCAGAGACCAAGAGGGCACAUAAUUGGAGCUACAGAAAGCUCUGGCAGCGUAUUUUUCCUAACAUUAACUAGGGACUGGAUGCAUAGAGGGUUGAAGCCUGUAGAUGAAGCAUGUGUGCUGCUUAGUCCAGCUGCACAUGGCGAAGGUGUUCCUUGAUUGGUAAGUAAGUUAACUUACCACCAACGAUGGUAGUGUUUACUAGGUUGUGUUAACCUAACACAGAAGAUGGAGCUUUUACUGUUUGUGAAAUAUUUGAAUGCCAAUUUGAAUGAAGACCAUUUACAAAGUUUAUAUGUCUUUUAUUCUUCUAAUAUAAAACUUCGUUUAAUGGAUUAUGAUGUCCUUGUUCAAUUACUUAAUUUACAUUAACACUGGACCUGCAAGGAAGUACUUCUCUAAUAAAUGAAGUAUACUUGUGGAUGAUUCUUGGAUUUCUAAUUAGGUAGGGUUGAGAUUUCUAAUUAGGCAGCGAUGACAACAAACCCAGCCCUUUCUCCCUCCCCGUUGAUUCUAUUUUAUCAUUUCUCAACAUUUCAAAUGAAAAAAAUGCUAUGCAAACAGUGCCUUCUUUCUAUAUAUUGUUGGAAUCCACAGUGGCGGAGACAGGGGGGAGGGGGCGAGUAGGGGCCUGCCCCCCUCCCUAUCAAUCGACGAGACACUAAGUACGACAUGUUGAUUAGCGAUAUGAUUCACAUAAACAAGUACUCCCCCCUAUCUUAAUGUGAAUUCUGAAAGAAGGAAAUAGGCCCAUGUAAAAUCCCAUUAGUGCGUUGUUUUCAAGUCCUUGGGAAUGCUAGAUUGGCCUCGCUAAGGGAUGGGCAUUCUCUUCAUGAUUAGCGUGUGUGUGCGG